GGGAGAAAGCAGGGGACCUUCGGGCCUUGCGCUAUCAGAUGAGCCUAGGUCGGAUUAGCUAGUUGGUGGGGUAAUGGCUCACCAAGGCGACGAUCCGUAACUGGUCUGAGAGGAUGAUCAGUCACACUGGAACUGAGACACGGCCCAGACUCCUACGGGAGGCAGCAGUGGGGAAUAUUGGACAAUGGGCGAAAGCCUGAUCCAGCCAUGCCGCGUGUGUGAAGAAGGUCUUCGGAUUGUAAAGCACUUUAAGUUGGGGGGAAGGGCAGUAAAUUAAUACUUUGCUGUUUUGACGUUACCGACAGAAUAAGCACCGGCUAACUCUGUGCCAGCAGCCGCGGUAAUACAGAGGGUGCAAGCGUUAAUCGGAAUUACUGGGCGUAAAGCGCGCGUAGGUGGUUCGUUAAGUUGGAUGUGAAAUCCCCGGGCUCAACCUGGGAACUGCAUUCAAAACUGACGAGCUAGAGUAUGGUAGAGGGUGGUGGAAUUUCCUGUGUAGCGGUGAAAUGCGUAGAUAUAGGAAGGAACACCAGUGGCGAAGGCGACCACCU
rnacentral:rRNA from 1 species